AGAAGUGUAUAGACCUAUCUGAUUUGGAAGGCAGUGGGUGGAGGUAAUAGAAGUGUAUAGACCUAUCUGAUUUAGGAGGCAGUGGGUGGAGGUAAUAGAAGUGUAUAGACCUAUCUGAUUUAGGAGGCAGUGGGUGGAGGUAAUAGAAGUGUAUAGACCUAUCUGAUUUGGAAGGCAGUGGGUGGAGGUAAUAGAAGUGUAUAGACCUAUCUGAUUUAGGAGGCAGUGGGUGGAGGUAAUAGAAGUGUAUAGACCUAUCUGAUUUAGGAGGCAGUGGGUGAAGGUAAUAGAAGUGUAUAGACCUAUCUGAUUUGGAAGGCAGUGGGUGGAGGUAAUAGAAGUGUAUAGACCUAUCUGAUUUAGGAGGCAGUGGGUGGAGGUAAUAGAAGUGUAUAGACCUAUCUGAUUUGGAAGGCAGUGGGUGGAGGUAAUAGAAGUGUAUAGACCUAUCUGAUUUAGAAGGCAGUGGGUGGAGGUAAUAGAAGUGUAUAGACCUAUCUGAUUUACGAGGCAGUGGGUGGAGGUAAUAGAAGUGUAUAGACCUAUCUGAUUUGGAAGGCAGUGGGUGGAGGUAAUAGAAGUGUAUAGACCUAUCUGAUUUAGAAGGCAGUGGGUGGAGGUAAUAGAAGUGUAUAGAACUAUCUGAUUUAGGAGGCAGUGGGUGGAGGUAAUAGAAGUGUAUAGACCUAUCUGAUUUGGAAGGCAGUGGGUGGAGGUAAUAGAAGUGUAUAGACCUAUCUGAUUUAGAAGGCAGUGGGUGGAGGUAAUAGAAGUGUAUAGACCUAUCUGAUUUACGAGGCAGUGGGUGGAGGUAAUAGAAGUGUAUAGACCUAUCUGAUUUGGAAGGCAGUGGGUGGAGGUAAUAGAAGUGUAUAGACCUAUCUGAUUUAGAAGGCAGUGGGUGGAGGUAAUAGAAGUGUAUAGACCUAUCUGAUUUAGGAGGCAGUGGGUGGAGGUAAUAGAAGUGUAUAGACCUAUCUGAUUUGGAAGGCAGUGGGUGGAGGUAAUAGAAGUGUAUAGACCUGUCUGAUUUAGGAGGCAGUGG